CCACGUAAGCCUGUGAAGCAGACUGUGAUGGUCUCCUGGGGAGACUGAGAGUCCAUUCAGGAUGAAUAUCGGAGCAGACUGUCAUCCAAACAAGGUGAAGGUCUCUGACCCUGGAGUGGCAAAGACGGGCCUCAAAGCCUUCCAGCCGACAUACUUCACUGUUGACUGCUCAGAGUCUGGUCAAGGACAAAGGCUGUUUGGGUUUAGGCUAUUCCAAUGACACCGUUCAGGGUCAAAGUGG